CCCGGAACUGCGGUCGGCGCUGCAGCUGAGGGAGCAAGGGGGAGGUGUGCGCCGCGGUUGGCCGGCGUGUGAGGGAGCCGCGACGGCGUUUCCACGCGGUAUUAUUGGGUCCCUCUCCCCUAUUUAAAAGGUGAGAGCACUGAGGUUCGGGGAGGAUUAAACACCACUGUCCGGGGACACAGAAGCACAACCAUGAAGUUGAAGGAGACAAAAUCAAGGCCAAAGCCACCAAGCUAUGGCAAAUUCCAGACAAAGGGAAUCAGAGUUGUGGGAAAGUGGAAGCAGGUGGAGAUUGACCCAAAUAUGUUUGCAGAUGGACAGAUGGAUGACUUGGUGUGCUUUGAGGAACUGACAGAUUACCGGUUGGUCUCCCCUGCCAAGAAUUCCUCCAGUCUCUUCUCAAAGGAGGAGCCCAAGAAGAGAAAGGCGCAAGCUGUUUCCGGAAAGGAAGAAGGAGAGUCCAGCUCCUCAAAGAAAAAGAUGAAGUUCAAGAAGAAUAAAGACAUGGAAACUGAAGGAAUCAGUGUCCAGAAAGAGUUUGAAGUCAAAGAUGCUGAGCCAGAGCCCCAGGGAGAUGACACGGUUUGUCCUGAUCCACAGGUAGAGAAGAUGGUAUCAGAAAGCUCAGCCCCGACUGUUCCAAAAAAGAAAAAAAAGAAAGGGAAAAAAAACUUGGAGCCAUCCCAGGGUACUACUCCAAAGGUGCCCAAAAAAGCAAAGACAUGGAUGCCUGAAAUGCAUGACCAGAAGGCAGAUGUAACAGCUUGGAAAGAUCUAUUUGUACCCAAGCCAGUUCUCCGAGCACUCAGCUUUCUAGGCUUCUCUGCACCCACACCAAUCCAAGCUCUGACCUUGACACCUGCCAUCCGUGACAAACUGGACAUCCUUGGGGCUGCUGAGACAGGAAGCGGAAAAACUCUUGCCUUUGCCAUUCCAAUGAUCCAUGCAAUACUGCAGUGGCGGGUGAAGAAGAAGCCUACUCCAGCUCCAAGUAACAAAGGAGCAUUACCUGGUGAGACCAGAACCGAGGCUGGAACUGAGUCUGGAGUUUUGCCCGAUGAGAUUGGAAUUGAGGGUGAAGUCCUGCCCAGUGAAGCUGAAGUGAAGGCUGCAACACCACCUAGCAAGGUCAAGACUGGAGCUGCUCUCUCAGACCAGGUGCUGCCCUUCUGUGAUGAUGAUGCUGGUGAAGGGCCUUCUUCUCUGAUCAGGGAGAAGGCCAUCCCCGAACAGGAUGAAGACAAAGAGGAAAAGCUUGAUGAAGAGGAGACUGGAAGGUGGAAGCAAGAGUUGGGUGGCAAAAUCGCCACCUGUAAAGCACAUCCAAAGCGCCCUCUGCUUGGUCUGGUUCUGACUCCCACUAGGGAGCUCGCUGUCCAGGUCAAGCAACACAUUGAUGCUGUGGCCAAGUUUACAGGAAUUAAAACUGCUAUUUUGGUUGGUGGAAUGUCUGCGCAGAAACAGCAGAGGAUGCUAAACCGCCAGCCAGAGAUUGUGGUUGCCACUCCGGGCCGGCUGUGGGAGCUAAUUAAAGAAAAGCACCCUCAUUUGAGCAACCUUAGGCAGCUCAGGUGCCUGGUGGUCGAUGAGGCUGAUCGGAUGGUUGAGAAAGGCCACUUUGCUGAGCUCUCACAGCUGCUAGAGAUGCUCAGUGACUCCCAGUACAACCCAAAGAGACAGACGCUUAUUUUUUCUGCCACACUGACCCUGGUACAUCAAGCUCCUGCUCGAAUCCUUCACAAGAAGCACACUAAGAAAAUUGACAAAACUGCCAAACUUGACCUCCUCGUGCAGAAGAUUGGCAUGAGGGGCAAGCCCAAGGUCAUUGACCUCACCAGAAAUGAGGCCACAGUGGAGACACUGACAGAGACCAAGAUUCAUUGUGAGACUGAUGAGAAAGACUUAUAUCUGUAUUACUUCCUGAUGCAGUAUCCAGGCCGCACCUUAGUGUUUGCCAACAGUAUCUCCUGCAUCAAACGCCUCUCUGGGCUCCUCAAAGUCCUGGAUAUCAUGCCGCUGACACUACAUGCCUGCAUGCACCAGAAGCAGAGGCUCAGAAACCUGGAGCAGUUUGCCCGUCUGGAAGACUGUGUUCUCCUGGCAACUGAUGUGGCGGCGCGGGGCCUGGAUGUUCCCAGAGUCCAACAUGUCAUCCAUUACCAGGUCCCUCGCACCUCGGAGAUCUAUGUCCACCGAAGUGGUCGAACAGCUCGUGCCACUAAUGAAGGUCUCAGCCUGAUGCUGAUUGGGCCUGAGGAUGUGAUCAACUUUAAGAAGAUUUACAAAACCCUCAAGAAAGAUGAGGACAUUCCACUGUUUCCUGUGCAGACAAAGUACAUGGACGCGGUCAAGGAACGAAUCCAUUUAGCUCGACAGAUUGAGAAAGCGGAGUAUCGGAACUUCCAGGCUUGUCUGCACAACUCUUGGAUUGAACAGGCAGCAGCUGCCCUUGAGAUUGAGCUGGAAGAAGACAUGUAUAAGGGAAGAAAAACUGACCAAGAAGAGCGUAGGAGACAAAAGCAGAUGAAGGUCCUGAAGAAGGAGCUGCGCCAAUUACUCUCCCAGCCAUUGUUCAAAGAGGACCUGAAAACAAAGUAUCCAACUCAGUCUGGCAAGCUGCCCACGCUCAUGUCUACCCCAAGAAACAGUGAGUCGGCCUUGAGCUGCCUCACCAAACAGAAGAAGAAGCAGAAGAAGCCGCCAAAAGAGCAGCAGCAGGAACAACCACAGCCAAGUACAAGUGCAAAUUAACUGCACUCCAGGGCGAUGUUCAGUGCCUGAGACAGGGCUGUGAUCUGGAUGUGGUCACACUCCAUGGCCAUGGGCUCCACUUCCUGCAAAGGCCAGAAUGAAAAAACAAACCCAGUUUAGGAAGGAGGCCUGGCAGAAGACAAAUGAAGUCCAGCCCUGGCUUUCACGGCCCUGGGUCAAAGGAUCUGUGCUGGGAAAUAAUCUUCACAAUAGCUCAUCAGUCCCAGGAGCUGGGUAUUACACAGCAGGUCCCAGGGCUGGGGGCUAAGUCCCCAAAGCUUGAGACCCUGAGGACCUACAUGAGUACAGAAGUCCUUGAUGUCCAUCUCCUCAUCAAUGAAGUGUUGGAAGAAUUCCGCGCGGUUCUUGAUGAAGGCUGAGGUGAGCAGGCGCAAAAACUGCACGAUUUGGUCCGAGGCGCUCUGGUCGUUGAACACCUUCAGCAGGCUGGACACUGACCCGUCCUUCUCUACCAGCUCUACCACACUGUAAAACUGCACCCCGCUGGGCUGUCAGUCGGGGGGCACAGGCAAGACCUACCCUCCCCCAUGGGACUCUUUCCACAGGACCCUCCCCCACCAUGUGUAUUUCCAUUUUGAAAUCCUCAAAUUGAGUUACCAAAAUAAGUCAAUCUGGGACCAAGCUAAGUAGAGGGUUAGAAAUGCUCUGCAAUGCAUACCUUAGCCCAGAGUCCUGUCUAGGGAACGGCAGUUGGGUUUCCUCCCAUCACUGUGGUUAUUGGGAUUCUUAUCUAUAGAUUCAGAACUGAAUCCUCCAACCCCACGCCCCCUUCACUAAGGGGAUCAGGGUUGUAGGGUGGAGAGGGGACAUCUGAAGGAGGCUGGGGGAUGUUUCCAGCCUGAGAGCUACUGCCCCAAAGGAGGUGCCUCUUCCCUGUGGGAGGGCAGGGCCCUGGGCUCCUUGUCCCCACACAGAGGAAGCAGCUGUCCUUCCCCAGAUGGGAGGAGCAAGGACAUAACCGCAGAGCCACGGGCUGUGAGGGGGCUCCAGCCAGUGCCCAUUCCUGCCUGCUCUGCCAGCAUGGAAGGACCUGGACCCUCAGCUGUCCUGCCCAGGUUAACUUACAGCAUUAAAGAAGUUUCGGAACUUGUGCUCCUCAAAACCAGCAGCCAGAAGGUCAUUUGGGGUCUGCAGGACACGUUCUUUGAACCUAAAGGAGGUAGACUGAUGGCUCAUGGGGAAAUGCUGAUGGAGCACUGCUGUACAGUCAGUGUCCUCAUGCUCUCACCCACUGCCCCCAACAACUGAGGAGGGGUGUGUCACUAACAGGUGACUGACUUCUGUCCUCCCCAGUGUGUACAAUCCCAGGAAGGGGGUGUAACACCCAUUUCACAGAUUAGGAGACUGAGGUAGUCACCACCUACUCCCAGACAUGUUGAUUCUACCUUUCAAAGCUUUCUGAACUCUGUCCCUCCUUCCUGUCCCCAUGGUUCUUGCCAUAUGACCACCAUCUCUGGCCAGGGCCAUGCCCAACCUUCCCGUGCUCCCAGUCCCUUCUCCACGGGGACCUCCGGAGUGACCCAGCACAGCCUUCUCCCUCAGGACACAGCUCCUCAGCACGAACAUCUAAGGGAGGACCCCAGCCUAGCUCCCCAACCUCCUCUCCCUUCGCAGCCUCCCUCCCACCCCAGGGCCACUCCCCAUUUGCAUGUCACUCCUUAGCACCCUGUCCCAUCAACCAGCGGCCUGUACCUACUCACAGGAGCUAAUUGUUCAGUUUUCAAGAUUUGACCAGCUGGGUAUUAAACAUAGCCACCACCUGAACUAUACUCCAACAGAAAGAUAUAUAUCCA